AAUUCGUGUUGUGGGCAUGCUUUCAUUAGCUCCUUAAAUCGCUCAUAUGCUUCGAAGAGUUAUUCUCAGUCUAUCUGCCUAAAACAGGUAAUCUAGUUCCCAAGUU